rnacentral:rRNA from 1 species
ACGGGGGGGGCGAGCGUUGUUCGGAAUUACUGGGCGUAAAGGGCGCGUAGGCGGCCGGCUCAGUCAGACGUGAAAUCCCUCGGCUCAACCGGGGAACUGCGUCUGAUACUGGCUGGCUCGAAUCCGGGAGAGGGAAGUGGAAUUCCAGGUGUAGCGGUGAAAUGCGUAGAUAUCUGGAGGAACACCGGUGGCGAAGGCGGCUUCCUGGGAUGACACUGACGCUCAUGCACGAAAGCGUGGGGAGCAAACAG